rnacentral:lncRNA from 1 species
UUGCCCUAUUGCUUGUCGGACCUGGUCGAAAGUUAUCCUAUCAAAGUACACUACAAGCUUUUUUUUUCCUUAUCGUUCAUGGACUGGUUGGUGGAAAACAUUCAAAACGUGCUAAAAUAGACUUUUUGGUAUCAUAAUACAGAGGCUCUGGAAAUCAAGAAAGUUAGUCGUGUUCAAUAAGGAGAAUGCCUGCUCUGAGGAAAUCAUUAAAAUCAGUUGGUGCUGAGCGAAAGGUAUUAAGCAUGCCUCUGUUAUUUUGGAGCGUGUUGGACUAAACUAAAUAUUGAUGGUGAAAAGAAAGGUGCGGCUGGUUGCACAUCUGUAGGGGGUUUAGCCGGGAUGAACAUGGUGAAUGGUUGUUGGGAUAUUGCAGAAGCAUAGGAGAAAGCAGUGGAGUUCAGGCUGAAUUACGGGCCAUUUAUGAUGAUCUUUCUCCUAUGGAACAAGGGUCUUCGACGAAUUGUAAUUGAAUGCGACAGCUCAGAGGCCUUGUAAGUCAUCAAGGAGUCGGAAUUGCAGAGAUCAAAUGUGGCGUUUGCUAGAAGAAUCAACGAGCCGCUGAAUCGAAGCUGGGAGGUGCGACCGUGCCAUGUGUAUCGUGAAGCAAAUGCUGCGGAGGAUUUAGCUGUUCCGACCAUUUUGCAGCAGGAUUUAGCUGGGACCGCCUCCUUAAGAUGUAAUUUCUUUGUUUAGCUCUCUUUUGUAACCAAAAAACUGAAUAUUCCUUUCAAGAAUCCAAUACCCAAUGUCUCUUCCGUGUGUUUUUGCUUCUGAAUGGUGGAGUUUCACUGCACUCAAAGUACAUAUCUCAGGUUAAAGGACAAAAACUAUUAUGAGUUUAAAGGAGAGAAUUUGCUUGACACGGAGCCAGAGGAAAGGUCUCUUGCUGGAUUUAUGAGUUUCUAGUCCCCUCUUGAGAUUCCGGGUGUGAACAAUAUCGACUUUUUGCACAUGGUGCGUAAUGCUCGAAGAAAAAAACUUGGUGAGCCGGAGCUCGGUCCACUUGAGGUAUAGAUCAUGAACUACCCUUUGGCCUUUGUACCUUUAUCUACUAUAAGAACUUGCUGUUGUCAACAUAUUCUUCUUGCUCUCCCUGUUGUAAUCAAUAUCGAUAUUUUUCUUAAAAGGUCAAACUCUGUCAUGGCUAGGCUACUUCUAUGUGGUUGUAUCUUGUAAUUUAGAAGCUCAUAGUUAAGGAACACACAAUAAUCAUGCUUGUUUGUUAUUGAUUACAGUGCUUACAUCAUUUUAUUCAUGCAGUUCUAUGCUUACAUAUAUCCUAAACUCGAUCUUGUGAACAUGAAGACUGACUUCCUCAACAGAAACGGCAAUAGUUAUGUGCAUUUCCUUUAUUUUGCUAAUAAAAAAAAACACAAAUAUCGAUUGUUUUAUUCUUAGAGUACAGCCACAUCUAUGAGCUCUUAAGUUGCUGGUUGUAGAGGGUGAGGAAACAUUGUAAAUCAGUAAAACAUAUGUUUUACUGCUUUGUUAUAAAACAUGAUCAUGCUGAUCUUCCAUGCAUGUUGAUUUCCUUUUCACCUUGAUUACAAAGCUCUUUUUCCCUGUAACAUGCAUGGUUGGUCCUUUUUUUCAUCCUUUAAAGUUUUAGAAAGAUGUCAACAUCUGCCUUAAGUCAGUAACAAACAUAAAAGUAGGCAGUAGAGAUCUAGUCUGAACUGUAAACCAUGUGGACGUUGGCCCACAUUCAUGAUUUGUUUUUUUUCCCGAGUAGUAAAACGAUGCCCUAAUGGAUGAGACUAUGUUAUCUUGAUUCUUACAUUAUUAUCUUGAUUCUUACAUUAUGUACCAUUAAUCUUUGUGGAUAGUUUGGAAAAAGUAUUGGAUGUAGUAAGACCUUGUUCUGCUUAGCUUAACAGAGUUCCUUGCUUUUUGUCUUAACCAGAUUUCUGCAAUGUCGUUUGGUCUUUUUCUAUUCACUGACCAUUUCUAGUUUUUUUUUUUUUAUAAACUAUCCUAUCAUAAGAAAUAUGUCUUCAUUCUUAUAAGAACAUGUUAUAAUUUGAUGUUUUCAGGAAGACAGGAGAUAGCUCGUUAGCUAAAGUUCUUGAGGAGAAAGGCUAUACCGCAAUUUCUGCUGCAUAGCAUACAGUACUCUCUGUCAAUAUUAUUUGUUUGAUUCUAGUCAAAACUCACUUUAGCUCGGUUCUUCAGCCUCUACUCCACAGUGUUUUACAUUGUUAAUUGGAAAGGACUUGAUGCUCAAAAAUCUCUGAAGUCAAUCGAUCAUGGUUCCACCAUUAAAGGAGCAUAAAGCCUUGGCCCUAAGGUGCUAGGCUGCUAGCAAUGGUGCCUAAAAGGUUAUUGUUUCUUAUUUAACCUCUUGCCUUGGCAUGUAAAUUUGAGUUCCCCCCCUUUUUUUCUCCCUCCCUUGUGAACGAGGAAGUGUCUCGAAAUUAACCGAUUGAUGUGCAAGUAUACACAACCGUUAAUAAGUAAUAAAGUAGUAAGUGAGAGUUGUCAUCUCCACUGGAAUUGUUUAUGCAAAUCAAGUAUUGCGAAAUUAAUUACUCAGCAAAUUGUUUGGUGAUGAAAAUAAAUUAAAAUGUGAUGAAUUUCUAAUUAUAUUAAACUAACCUAAUUAUAUUUAAAAUUAAAUUAAACAAAGAAAAAAAAGUGUGCAAGUUUUAAGAGUAAUCACAAUUGCAUGCAUUAGAAUAACUUUCUUUCCUAACUUAGAAAUAUUUAAAUAAUACUAAUAAUGUUACGGAAAAAUCCAUGACAACUCGCUUAUUUAUUAAUCCUGUUUUUAUGAGUGCUCGGCUCCUCUUGAAGCCGUAAGCACAACCUUUUAGUCUGCAUAUUUCUAUGUUCAUUCCUACUUCAAGGUUACCUUUCAAGUAUCGUCUAAGAAAUCAUACUUAUUAAAUUAUUAAUUCUAGCAUAUGUAUGUCAAACAACUUAGUAUUUUCAAUAAGCAAAAAACAAAUUAUGUGAGGUGACAUUAAAAUAUUUCUAUACUGAAAUAGUUUAACCAUAUUAAUCCUACAGUUAUGCAAGGUAAUAAAAUUCUUUCGAUAUUAUUACUAAUCUGACCUAAUUUCAUAAUAAAAAGAUCAAACAUGCACCAUUCAGAUAUUGUGUCAAUUAAUUAUAAUUUGGUUCUGAUUUAAUAAUUAAUUCAAUUGCAUCCCUACAUUUAUAAUGCACAAAUAACAUGUUCAUUAUUUUAUUUGGAUGAAUAAGCAAGCAAGGCACAUAACAUCAUUAACAAAAUUAAAUAAUCUAAGCUACGGAAUUUAAAUCAUUUGACAAAAUUAAGCAACCAUGAUUAUAUUAAAAGCAAAAAAACUCAGUUGCAAUCAUGUUUCUUGAAUUGAACAAAAAUAAAAGAAUAAAGGGUAAAGAAUGCAAAGUCGUUUUCGGUGGUUCUCCGAACCAUAGCUCACUUCGCUCCUCCUUUUUACUUUCCUUCUUGUUGUGACUAUCAAGCUUGAGUGCUCCUAAUAUGGUCGAAUGAGACUACUCUCAAAGCCUUGCAAAACUCUUUAAAUAAUACGAAAAUAUGGAGAGUGAAAGAAGAGAAAAAAGAGAGAAGAGAUGAUGAAUGAAGGAUGAGGGAUGAACGAAAUGAGUGAAUGGCUAGGGGUAUUUAUACUUGUGAGGAGCUGCUUGAGUUUACUAAAAGUAGCAUGUCAACCCUCCAUUUUUCUCUCAUGCAUGGCUGGCCCCUUGAGUGGAGGAAGGAAGGUUGAUGAUUUUGCUAAAUUUACCUAGUCAAGGUUUGAUUCAUUGGAAAGUGUAACACCCAAACUCGACUUAGACAUUAUGACCAAAUCUUGUGGGUUACAUCAUCUAUACGUUUUAAAAUUCAAGAUUAAUCCAUUUAAACCAUAAUACAUGUGUGUUUCUAGAAUCGUUCGUUUACUUUCACUUGAAUAGGUUUAAAACCACAUUUUUAGCUUAUUUAUUAUCCAAAAAACUCAUUUUUGAUUAUUUGGAUUUGCAGCGGAAAACUCCAGAGUUGGCAAUUUUUUAAAUAGUUAUUUUAGUAUGUGAAAAUGCAAAAUUUGUAGUUUAGAGAAAACAAAUUAUUAAAGUUUGAUGGCUAGUCCAAAACCAAAAAUAAUGUCCAAAAAUUAUCCAACAGUCGAAAAAGUUAAAAAAUAAUCAUGAAAUCAAUUUAAACCGUUAAAUGCAAGGAUGACCAAUCCGAGCCCCAAAUGUCGCCCGAUCCUAAGUCUGAGGGUUACCUAAAAAGAUUAAUAAAUUGAGUGAGCUAAAAAGCCCAGUGUGCGACUUGGCCCACAUACAUAACAAAUUACACAAUUUAAUCAAUGAUUUCAGCAGAACAAAACAUUUACAGAAGCUUGUCAUGCAUAUCGAUGUAAAAUCAACAAACAGAUCAAAUCUUACCUCCAUCCACUAUACACCAUUUCCAACCCUCCUAACACACCAAAUAGGGUAAAUGAUACUCAUCCAACCCCACACACCAAAUAGUGAUCAUAUGUCACUAUACAAAAAUAUGUAGUCAUGCUGCCAAAUGUUAUACAAAAGUCCACCAUAUUCAAAUAUUGCAGAUGUAACUGCCAGGUACAGAUAUUGCGAUUUUACCGCCAAAAAUGCAGAUCGUAGUCUGCUAGAACUUUCUCCAUCACAUUAUCAUAUUCCACCCCAAUGCAAAUGCAACGUCAUAAUACAUAUAUCGUCACAUUAAGAUUAAACAUGCACAUUUUAAGCAUUUCAGAUCAAAAACAUGCUAAUGGCACUUUCAAAUUCAUAGACCAGAUAUACAAUUUAUACGGCUAACAUGCUUUCAAAAAAAUAUGCACACACAGAAACAUCAGAUUUUAUUUUUCAGACUAAAUGCAUAUCAUUCAUUAGAGCUUACGAAAUCGUUGACCUUGAACACGCAAUCAAAAUACGACCCUAACUAAACUUACUCAAAACAGGCCCACACGCCCUACCUGGCAUAGCUCAUAUGGCCCGCACAGUCUGGCGCACGGCUGAGCACACACUCGUGUGGCGUUGACAGUUUCGAUUUUUGUAUAGUUUUUUGAGUUUACGAGUUAGGGUCACAGAACUGACUGUUUUUUUUUAAAUGCUCACCACAGCAACAAUCAAAUCUGGAAAAAACAUCCAUAAUUUGAAUAAUACUAACCACUUACAAAGAUUCGACCUAUGCUUCCUAAAAUAUUCGGCUAUUAACAGGAGGCAUUCUACCACACAACCCCAAAUUAACACUAACCAGCCCUCCAAAAUUGGGCGUCCGACACUUACCCUCAGAAAUAGAAAUACCCAACGCACUUAACUCACCUGAAGAAUGUACGCCUAACACUCCUCACCUACAAGAACCACACAGAAGAACUAUCAACAUCCACAACAAUAACACAUUCAGUGAAACUCGACAACAUCUCAUUUUUCAACGAACGAACCUUACUUACAAUAAUAAUAAAAGGAAAACACGAUUGAAAACUACAAUUCACUUACCACACGACCGACCAAUAACAAGUCCAGAAGAAAACUAGCACAGUAAGAAGGGGUCCAAAUGAAAAUAGGACAGCAGAUAGCAACAACAGCAGAGAAAGAAAGAAAAAAUAUGAUUGUUUAAAUAAGGAUGAAAAUUGAGAGAAGAAAAAAAGAAUAGCAUAAGGAAAUUGACAGAAAAUUUUCAGGAAAACAAAAAAGAUACAACGUAAAAUAGAAUAAGAGAAAAUGUGAAAGUGAGGAAACAAUAAGUUUCAAACUUGAGACCUAAGAGUAAGCUAAGACCUUACCACUAAACCAACAAACUCAUUCUUGAUAAUAAACUUACAAAAAUUAAAGAUAACCCUUACAAACCAAAUCAGAUAUAGUAUCAAAAUUAAUAAAGAAAUUUCUAAGGAAAUCAAACACAGGACCUCAAGCAAACAUCCAAAGCCCUUAACCACUGAAUUAUAUAUAUUUAUAUUUCAAAGUUUUUUUUUUUUUGCAAGUCUUUGCCGUUUGGACUUUUAACACGGUGUAGUUUUAGUAUUUUGUCCACAACUUAAGUUAUAUACCUCUAUUUUGAUAUUCAAAGUGAAUUGAAAGACCUAACUAAAGUUAUUUUACGACUCAAGCCCAAAAAUGGCCUAAAAUUUUGAUGCAAAAAUUACCAAAAAAUCUAGAAAAAAAAUCUACUUUAUUUAAUGGGAUUUCUGUAUUUUCUCUAUUAUAUUAUUUUUUCCCUAUAAAUACACAUUAUUAGGGGGGAUGGGGAUGACUAUUCUUAGUUUUAUUUUGGUUUUGUGUUUUAUUUUCUUUAUGGGUUCCUAAACCCUCUUUUCUAGUUGAAAUAAUAUUCGAAGUUUGGUUCUAUAAGUUUGUGAGAUCGAAUUGCUUCUAAUCUUGAUUUUCUCUUUAAUAUUUGCAUGUCUCCUCGUUUAAUUACAUUUGUUCAAUUUUGUUAAAUAAUUGGUUGGUAUUUGGUAGCUUAGAAUAAUUGCUUUGUCGAUUAGAUAAUUAGUCGAUCAAUUGAUUUCUAAUAUUUGUGACGAUUGCAUGAUUAUUUUUGUAGUAUGGGGAUGCAGUCAAACUUAAAUAAACUUUGAUUGUGUGUUUGUUGGUUAAAAUUGGGUCUCUUUCGUUAUUAAGGCUAUUGAUAAAUUAAAUUAUUAAGCUAUUGAUCUGUCGUAAUUUGAUAUGUCAAAUUAGCCUCUUUCGUAUGCUUAAGGAGCUUGUUCUCAAGUAGUUUAAUAUCCUUUUAAUACUUUUUAUCAAUUAUUAGUUGUUAGUUUCAAUGCUAGCUUUUAUCACUAUUGAGAUCUAAAUUGGAAAAAUUAUGACAUUGGGAGUCUAAUAUUUGAUUUAAGCUUGUUUAGGGAGAUGAUUAAGGCCAAAUGUCAAUGAGACAUUCAAUUAACGUGUGUGUCAUGACAUUAAUGCUUGUGUGUCGUGACACUGACUCCCCAUCACCUUGAGGAAG